rfam:Ciona savignyi cont_32801, whole genome shotgun sequence.
ACUGGGUUGGCCGAGUGGUUAAGGCGUUGGACUUAAGUUCCAAUGGACAAGUGUCCGCUUGGUAUCGAACCCCACACCCAGUA